GCGUCAGUAGGUUGGUCGUGCCACCGGUACGUACUGGUCUCAAUGAUUCCUCCUUCCUGAAGAACCGUAAUGCCAUUAAUUUGGUGUUGCGGGGAAACAGGACUGUUACUUUGAAAAAAUUAGAGUGUUUAAAGCAAGCUAACGCUUGAAUACAUUAGCAUGGAAUAAUGAAAUAGGACGAUCGAUCCUAUUUUGUUGGUUUCUAGGAUUGACGUA
rnacentral:rRNA from 1 species